UAGGUAGCUCGCAGACGAGUCCAGCUCAGAGAUUUCAUUUUUGAGGUCUCAUCAGGGACCUUAUGAAAUUCUGAAUCGCGUUGUUGGCUCUGAUAGAGCCCUUCUCGAGUGAGUUUCGCUUGUCCCCGAAUCCCUCCUAAAGAUAGAGCUUGAUGGGGAGAACCAUGCUUACCACAUUCAUCUGAGGUCGGUAGCGAGCUCUGCGCAAGUGAGAUACCUCUGCAUUUGCAUGAUGGUGAGGCUGAUCCGUG
rnacentral:misc_RNA from 1 species